ACCAUGUGCUGCAUGGAACUAACACAAGCUCUAGCACCUGCCUGUUGCUCGGAGACAGGGGUUAAUGCAGCGUGAAGGUUGCUUGGUGGUAUUGUCGCCCCAUGGCAGAACAGUGCGUUGAGCAAAACUCAAACUUCAGGAAACCAGGAAAGGCCAAGACUGAUUGUUGCCUCAUGGAAUUGAUAGAGACUGUCUGGCACAGGACGGAAAAUGAAUAUUGAAAGGCCGAAGCAUCCAAC